rnacentral:rRNA from 1 species
GUUUUUAGGACUUCUUGCCCACCAUUAAUCGCGGGUUUGGGGACUGAGAAAGACAAAGACCAUUUGCUCGGGCGAGGCCAGGGAAAGGAAGGGGCGGCCCCUCCCCAGCGACGGCCCAUGCCCCAUGGCUGGACGGCACCUCGCUCUCUUUUUACGCCACAUCGCCGUCCAGCGAUCGCUAUUGCCGUGCGAAUUUGAUUACUGCGGAGCCGGUGACCCCCCGCAGCUCCGCCCAGUUAUCAACCGAUUUCAAUGGGGGCAGGCAGGGCGCAGUCACCGGUACAGCCUAGGUGGGUGGGUGGUGGUUGUGGUCAUCCGCGGGUUAUCGACGACGACGAGCCGCUGAAAGCAAAGCCGCCGCCGCCUCCCUCCGCCGUACUUCUUGAAGAAGUCCUUCGAGGUGUAGCCCCUCCCCAGGCCCCUGCCGCGCAGCGGCGGGCGGGGCGGCGAGGGGGCGUUCCCGUCGCCGCCUCCCCCGCCUCCGCCUCCUCCGCGCCCGGUGGGAGGGGAGGAGGGGCUCGUCGCCGUCGUCGUCGGCGGGAGCCACCACAGGUCGACCGAGCUGAGGCAGGGCUGCGCCGGGGGAGGGGGCUGCGGGGGCGGGGGGCGCCUCCGCCUCCCCAGCCGCAGGCGCAGCGGCCCACCCCUCCUGUCCGCCGGUAGCCCCGGCCACCCGCUCUCCUCCGCGCGUGUCCUCCUCCCUUACCUCGCCUCCGAGAGCGUCCUCCCGCUCGCCGCCGCUAGCGCCCUCCUCCUGCGCCACCUCCUCGCCCAGUAGUCCCUCAGCAGGCUCCGCCUCCUCUCCUUCGCCCUCUCCCUCUUCCUCCUCCUGCUGGAGCUCCUCAAGGUCGACGUCGAGCACGACCUCUACUCGCGGGCCCUGUUGGGGCUCCUUUACCUCUAGCUCCAGCGGUUCGUCUACUCGGACCCGAAGGCGGCGGGGCGCUCGAGGGAGCGACUCCAGGAGCGCCGGGCUAUGACCUUAAAGAUGCGGGAACCGAUACUACUGUUUUAUUGUCUACCGAAAAUACUAGAGAUGCAGUAACCCUUACCCGGCCGUAGCUAUUUGUACGGGAGAGACUCACUUGACGCUCGUGUCGGUCAAAGUGUAUUAUCACAGUUGACCCUUUGACAUAACCAAGUGUCUCCACUUCUAGGACUCGAAUACUUUGAACUCGUCUUCCGGAGUUAGUAACGACAACUUGAAGCUAGCUCUUUAAGUCUUAAACAACCGUUACAAAACUAAGUCUUUGAACGAUUAAAUCAAAGAUUGGUGUACCCACCUGAUUAUAAACUAGGACUCUUGUGCAGCUCUUUUAUGGUCUUAUACUAGUCUAGGGACUCUCGUGCAUAACCUUCACAUCAACACGGAGAACCGGUUAAUUUUUGACCAGAUCGAGCAGUAGCGCGCGACGAUAAAUUCCAAAACCGACUAUCGGAACUAUAGGGAACAGCUGAGGACUUUCCUUCCGUCAUGUGACCUAGCCUACUACCUCGAAACUUGUAACACUUUAUACUGCUACCUUCCCUUAAGUAGCAACUAGAGCACUGUCUAGGACCGUGUCAAUAAGGAAGUCUCCCACGACAAAACAGAUGUCUUAAACUUCUGACAAGGAUGAGUCUAUUGGUAGUCAAUUCGUUUCGACUAUGCCGGUUAGUGAACCCUAGAAGAGUGUCACCUCAGAGUUUAAGACGUACACUAAGGAAACUCAUACUCGAUGAACUGUCUUCUAGCUGUAGUUCGUUGCAACCAGGAAGACUAUGUCUACCUCGGCGCUGAUCAGUUUGUUCGUUAGUUGUUUUAUGCUAUUCAAGAAAACUUUUAAAUAGCCAAUCGUGUAAGGGUUCACUUUUAUUUGGAGAAUAGUUACUUUCAUCUCCGUGUCUUCUUCGCCACCGUGGUUUCUUGUUUCUUUUUGGUCAACCACGUUUAUUGAGAGACAGUUCAAGUGGAAGAAGGGGUCUUCACCCGUCGUGAUGCCCAAAGGCCUCCUACUUUCAUUUCCUAUAGAGUCUCAUGUACUAAGUACGACGGUCCCUUUUAGGUGUCAAUCGUGCCUUUUAGGUACUCCAGAAUGAACUUUUACCUCAUCACCGUGGCGGACUGAACAAAAGUCUUCUAAGUUACCUCCUCGGUUUCCUAGAUUAACACACACUACGGUGGGAUAAAGUUUCGUUCCUACUUUACUUUUCCUCUUACUUACUCCAACCUAGUUCCCUUAUACGACUAGCACCAGUACCGGGUAGUGACAGAGUAGCAGGACCCGUACUUGAGGUUAGUUUUCAACAUGGAGUGGCGCGUGAAGACCUGAGUGAAUUUGGACAGCUCCCAAACCCAUAUAUGGUGGUAGGCCUAUAGGCACUAUUGUGUAGAGGGAUAAAAAGAGUAAUACUUGGAAGCCGUGGAGGGGUCCUUUGAGGCAGUGUCGAGAGUUUCGUUAACGGACAGUGCCGACGACGACAACGUUGACGACGUCACCAUCGCAGAAGCUACCAACAGCGUCGGCGUUUUAGAUUGUCACUAUACUUUAAACUACACGGGCAACGUCGACGUCGGUGGCAAUGGCGUCGACGUCAACAACGUUGUUGACGACGACAAUCGUUCGUUAUACUUGUGAGCCUCGGACCAUUAGUCGAUGAAUCAAAUGGUUCGUGUAGACUUGCUUUACUUAGUCAACUUUUUCGACGUCUACUGAAAACCCUAUUUGUCGUGUGACUUUAACCAGUACCGGUUCUAUUACGAGAUCUAGUUCUUUCCCUAAGACGACUUCAAGGAGCCCUUCGACUUUCUUGGAGUCUAUUUAGUUCGCCCUGUCUUUCACGUUUUAGACUUCAAUGUGAUCUGCUACAACGUCUCAAACUCUACGUCAACCUUCUUUAGCGUUAGCCCCUUGCCUAACCGGAACCUAGUAAACCUCUUCAAAUAUCUCCACUUACCGUACCUUGUCUUCAACGUCAGUUCUUCAAAAACGUUGUUCUAUAAAGCUCGCUACGAGACCUACUUAAAUUUCGACUCCACGCUUAUUACUUCGCCAAUGCAGUAGGAUUACAACAAGAAAAGUACCCACGAUAGUGAGCCCACGGAUUAGAAAGGUAACAGUGGCUUAAAGAAGGUUCUCCAUCGAACAAGGCCAACUAAGUAGCUGGAUUGUUGGACAACCUACUUUUCUCCGCCAAUUCUUACCGUGAACUACACCGUGCUCCAUACUUAAUAGACGUAUUAACGUGUGGUCAAUAUCAGGUAUCUCUGGACUUUAGAGGUUUAGAUGACCAACUGUUCUUGACCCAACACUUCCAAACACUAAAACCGGAUAGUUCUUACUUCUUGUUAUGGAAGGAUAGUAGUUCUAGUUGUCGACCUUGUCGGCUCACCUACCGUGGCCUUCAAGAUGCAUUACUUGGUAGUCUACUCUUUACGCUACAGAAAUCAAUGCCACAGUAUGACACCCUUGAAACAUGCGAUGUUGUCGGAACCCUUCCAUACUUGCGUUACGUUCAGCAACCUCGUCAACCCAAAGUCUCAGCGGCGGAACUAUAAGGUCUGUUGCAGCUGGGGCGGCAUCGUCUCUAGUAUUGUUCUACGACCGUCUGCCUGGGUUCCCGCGCCGGAAGUAAACGCCUCUAGUACCGACGUAAUUUUGGUAAUGACUUCGGGCAUGGGCGCUUGGUUCGUGGUUCCGUCUCUCAUGUCGUCCGUCUCCCCAUCUCUUUUUGCUUCUAAUCGUCGACGGGUUGCAGGUAUGGAUGUCCUUAACAAAAAACAUGUCAAUGUGGUUUACGCACACGUCUCAUUUCUCGCACGCACUACAACCAGGCAAACGAAAGGACAUUUCUACAUUCAAGCAGGGUUGUCACCGUACUCGGCAUAAUUCGGGCGGACAGUAGCUAGGUAAGUGCUUCUGCCUGUGACAGUCUGGUACAUUGUCAACUUGUUCCUUGACUGCACCGCCCGCCUUGUCCCCCGAAACGAGUAUGGUAGAGAGGAGGAGAGGAGGUAAAGGGAGAACACAAAGCAUUGUCAACUUGUUCCUUGACUGCACCGCCCGCCUUGUCCCCCGAAACGAGUAUGGUAGAGAGGAGGAGAGGAGGUAAAGGGAGAACACAAAGGUGGUUUACCACCGAUAUACACGGUUGUGUACAUUACAUUACGACAGUCCACAGUCAGUCUUGGUUUUCCUUCUUUUUCUACUUUUCGAACAAGUCAAACACUAGACAAGGCCAAGGGUCCAAGACCACAAAGUGACGUAUGAGAGUGGACGAAGACACGACGAUAAAUGUCCGUUGUUCAGCACGCAGCACGGCAAACGACGUGUAGAGCUGCCAGCAGUCCGCCGCCGUUUACCUCGCUCUCUUUGGUAGCCAGGAGCGGUCAGCGGCGCUAGGAGCCCGCCCCUUUUCUCCUGCGCGCGACGAAGGCGUGGGUAGAGGCGAACUGGCUAAGGGUCGGUACCUUUGAGGGGCUCGCCGGGCGCGCUAGGAGAAAGAAGAAGGGCACGAUCGGCUAGGGUAAGCUGGGGAGAGGCCUCGGAGGGCGUCUGCGCCUGCUUGCACGCGUGCCCUACCGCUCGUAGAAGACCCCGCCGCGGGUCCGGCUGCUCCACCGGCUGAAGCUGCUCGUGCUGGGGUGGGGGAUGCCGCCGCCGAUGCUGUAGUGGGAGUGGAAGCCGGCGCGGGAGGGCGGGAGGCUGCUCUAGACGAUGGGGUAGAGGUGGCGGAGGUGGAGCAGCAGUAGCAUGCUGUCGGUGCCGCGCCGGCUCGUCGUGGCGUCCUCCGGCGUCCUGGUCCUGUCGGUGCCGAGGCGCCCCGUGCCCUCCUCCGGCCUCCUCAGUGUGCCGAGGCGACGACCAAUGCCCGUGCCCUCCUUCCGCGUGCUGCUGCUGCUGCUGCUGCCACCACGCAUGGCCUUCGGUUUCGGCAGGGUGCCGCUGCUGCUGCUGGCCGGGUCGAUGCCGGCGUUCUUCUUACUGCUGCUGCUGCUGCUACUCUCCGCCAGCGCCAUGUUCUUCGCGCUGCUGCUGCUGCUACUACUCUCCUUCGGUGCCGUGUUCUUCACGCUGCUACUGCUGCUGCUGCUGGUACUCUCCUCCGGCGCGAUGUUCUUUGCACUACUGCUGCUGCUACUGCUGCUACUGUCUUUCGGCGCAAUGUUCUUCGCGCUACUGCUGCUGCUGCUACUACUAUCCUUCGGUGCAAUGUUCGUGCUACUACUACUCCUGCUGCUGCUACUAUCCUUCGUCGCAGCGCCCUUGUUGGCGGCGGCGGUGCUAAUGCUACUAACUAGUUCCGUAGUACUGUACUCAAAUCGACUGCGAUUAUUCGUAUCAACGCCGCCGAAACGUAGCUACUUAGAGGUAAAGGAUAAAAAAAAGUUCGUAAAAAGUAAACCGAUAAGUGGCCAGUGGUACGAGGUUAGCAUACGAGCUCGAAGAGAACCUUAUUUUACACGUCAAACUGGACAAACACAAGAUUAUACUACUAAAAGGG